CGGCUCGUCUCCGUGGCCUGGAGGCUAAGCGAACGGGUUGGGCUGCGCGUGUACCCCGGUUCGAAUCUCGGAUCAGGCUGGAGCCGCAGCUAACGUGGUACUGGCACUCCCGUCUCGACCCAG
rnacentral:misc_RNA from 1 species